rnacentral:lncRNA from 1 species
GUUUUACAUCAUUAAAAUUAAAUUUUAAGCUUAUAUGUUUUUUGUUUCGAUUCAUAGGAAAUACCGUAUGAUUUUGCAAGCUUAUUGUGGGAAGGAAAAGUUCCAUAUGGUCAAUGUCUUGAACUUAUUGAUGAUGACUUAUGCAACUGCAUGAGUCUGAAUCUUUUUCGAACACAAGAGAAUUGAUGGAGUGAUAUAAGAAGGUUUCUUUGUUAAUUGAUUAUUCUCUUCCGCUUACAGGGGAUAGCGCUAAGGUAAUUAACAUCAAAAUUCAAUAUUUCUAUUACUUGAAUUCUCUUGCUUUAUAAUUUCUUUCAAUGUAUUAUUUUGU